rnacentral:lncRNA from 1 species
CAACGUCGAGUAUUUUCUCAAUAAACAAAUCAAUUCAUUUCUUUUUCCAUCCUAUUCCAUUCCAGUUCUUCCAAACUUCAUCAAAUGCUUGAUCCAAUGUCAAGCCAUUUUCAUAAUAAAAAAAAAAAAAAAAAACUUAAUUAUAGUCAGACUUUUUCAAUAAAGAUGGAAGUGGAACGUGGUGUAUACCACGCACUCCUGAGACUAGGAUUCGAGAUGUAUAUCUCGCCAAUCCUAGCUUUCG